rnacentral:rRNA from 1 species
UAGUCUGGUGCCAGCAGCCGCGGUAAUUCCAGCUCCAAUAGCGUAUAUUUAAGUUGUUGCAGUUAAAAAGCUCGUAGUUGGAUUUCGGGUAGGGGGCGCCGGUCCGCUUCGGUGUGCACUGGCGGCCCAUACCUUCUUGUCGGGGAUGCGCUCUGGUAUUGGUUUAUCGGACGCAGAGUCGGCGCUGUUACUUUGAAAAAAUUAGAGUGUUCAAAGCAGGCUUUCGCUUGAAUACAUUAGCAUGGAAUAACAUGAUAGGACUUCGAUCCCAUUGUGUUGGUCUUCGGGACUGAAGUAAUGAUUAAGAGGGACAGUUGGGGGCAUUCGUAUUACAUUGCAAGAGGUGAAAUUCUUGGAUUUAUGUAAGACGAACUUCUGCGAAAGCAUUUGCCAAGGAUGUUUUCAUUAAUCAAGAACGAAGGUUGGGGGCUCGAAGAUGAUUAGAUACCAUCGUAGUCUCAACCAUAAACGAUGCCGACUAGGGAUUAGCGGAUGUUACUUGAUGACUUCGCUAGCACCUUGUGAGAAAUCAAAGUCUUUGGGUUCCGGGGGGAGUAUGGUCGCAAGGCUGAAACUUAAAGGAAUUGACGGAAGGGCACCACCAUGGCGUGGAGCCUGCGGCUUAAUUUGACUCAACACGGGGAAACUUACCAGGUCCGGACACAGCGAUGAUUGACAGAUUGAGAGCUCUUUCUUGAUUCUGUGGGUGGUGGUGCAUGGCCGUUCUU